AAUGAACGUUGGCGGCAUGGAUUAGGCAUGCAAGUCGAGCGAGAAGUGUAGCAAUACACGGAAAGCGGCGGAAGGGAGAGUAAUACGUGGGAAUCUGCCCUUAGACCUGGGAUAGCAGCGGGAAACUGCUGGUAAUACCAGAUAAUGUCUAUGGACCAAAGGUGUGAUUCCGUCUAGGGAUGAGCCCACGUCCUAUUAGCUAGUUGGUAGGGUAAUGGCCUACCAAGGCGAUGAUGGGUAGCGGGUGUGAGAGCAUGACCCGCCUCACUGGGACUGAGACACGGCCCAGACACCUACGGGUGGCUGCAGUCGAGAAUCUUCGGCAAUGGGCGCAAGCCUGACCGAGCGAUGCCGCGUGCGGGAUGAAGGCCUUCGGGUUGUAAACCGCUGUCGAGGGGGAGCAACUUCCAUAGAGUUAUCUUUAUGGAUUGAGUGAUCCCUGGAGGAAGGACGGGCUAAGUCCGUGCCAGCAGCCGCGGUAACAC
rnacentral:rRNA from 1 species